CAAGUGAAGCAGUUCUUGCUGUUUUCGCGCCAGCGGCCAGCCCUGGUAACCCAAUACCUGCAAGACUCUGAGAGCAGUGAGCCCAGCUUCAGGCCCAGUCUGUCUGUCAACCGUCACCUUGCUCUGGAGCACCGUGCCUGCCCCUUAAAGGACCCUGCCUGCAAGAACACAGUCUUCACCCAGGUUUAUGAAGGCCUCAAGCCCUCUGACAAGUUUGAAAAGCCGUUGGAUUACAGCCCUGACCAUGCUGAUCAC